GUCUGUUCAGGCGAUGGAGUCCGCCUGUCCCAACCGCCAUUCUGGCUGAUGACUCCUACUGAACA
rfam:Halorubrum sp. J07HR59 genomic scaffold scf7180000001382, whole genome shotgun sequence.